UACGUAGGGUGCAAGCGUUAAUCGGAAUUACUGGGCGUAAAGCGUGCGCAGGCGGUGAUGCAAGACAGAUGUGAAAUCCCCGGGCUUAACCUGGGAACUGCAUUUGUGACUGCAUUGCUGGAGUGCGGCAGAGGGGGAUGGAAUUCCUGGUGUAGCAGUGAAAUGCGUAGAUAUCAGGAGGAAUACCGAUGGCGAAGGCAGGUCUCUGGGCUGACACUGACGCUCAUGCACGAAAGCGUGGGGAGCAAACAGG
rnacentral:rRNA from 1 species